CUUCUCCUAUCAUUGCUCGCAGCUGAAGGAUCGCCUCUUGAGCCGAAGUCUGCAGCUCCUUCACCACCUACAGAUGGAGGAGGUGUGCUGUCAGUGAACAGCCAUACAUAAAGCAAUCCAGGACUCAUGUGCCGGUCUGUUUGUCUGGAUGUUUACAGGAUUUAUGGGACUUGAAGUCCACUUUUUUCCCCCUCAUCCUGUGUUAUCUUGGCACACUGCACUGUCUCCUCAGUGUCCGCAUUGUUGUCGACCAGGAACUUCAGCAGACGGUCCUCUGGUGGGAGGGAGCUAUUCCCUUUUACUAUGGAUGGAUAACUGUGGC